UGGGGAAUAUUGGACAAUGGGGGCAACCCUGAUCCAGCAAUGCCGCGUGUGUGAAGAAGGUUUUCGGAUUGUAAAGCACUUUCGGCGGGGACGAUGAUGACGGUACCCGCAGAAGAAGCCCCGGCUAACUUCGUGCCAGCAGCCGCGGUAAUACGAAGGGGGCUAGCGUUGCUCGGAAUGACUGGGCGUAAAGGGCGUGUAGGCGGUUUGUACAGUCAGAUGUGAAAUCCCCGGGCUUAACCUGGGAGCUGCAUUUGAGACGUGCAGACUAGAGUGUGAGAGAGGGUUGUGGAAUUCCCAGUGUAGAGGUGAAAUUCGUAGAUAUUGGGAAGAACACCGGUGGCGAAGGCGGCAACCUGGCUGCAUUACUGACGCUGAGGCGCGAAAGCGU
rnacentral:rRNA from 1 species